GCCUGGGUGGCUCAGUCGGUUAAGCAUCUGACUUCGGCUCAGGUCAUGAUCUCCCCGUUCACGGGUUCGAGCCCCGCGUCGGGCU
rnacentral:tRNA from 1 species